GUGGUGUUUGGAUUGUCACAGCCGGUUGGCUCUAUGCUCGUGGAUCGGAUUAUCAGCAUGCAAUCAUCUUCGCUACUGUGAGAUGGAAUGAUGCCUCAGAUUCCUACCNAUUUGGAGGAAGCCAACCGCUUGACAGCUAGCCUCUGUUUGGUGCAGGAGGAUAGCGUAGCACCCCUCGUGUUCCACCRAGCCCUGACCUAUUGYGUUGCCUACGGGGACGUGUGAUGCUCUCAGAUCCAACACACACCGCAGGCUCACAUCCCAGUCCAAAGAUAAGCCUCGAUCUCCUAUACGAUGCCCACGCUCGCCCUGUGACCACCCCAGCGANAUGAAGGUGAAGCGUGGCGUCCUUAAGGAUUGUUACCUAGUUGAUCCUGCCAAUAGUCAUAUGCUUGUCU
rnacentral:misc_RNA from 1 species